rnacentral:lncRNA from 1 species
UUCUUCCUCGUUCAAUUCCAGUUUUCCCAUAUUCACCUCCCCCUCGUCUGUAUCUUCAAUUCCAGCUUUCAUCUUUAUCUUCAAUUCCAGCUUUCUCCGUAUGGAAAGUCUGUAUCUUCAAUUCCAGCUUUCUCCUUAUGGAAAUUUCUCUGCUUGUUUAUGGGACGUUUCUUGUCAGUGUGUGUUUUUUUCGCAGAUUUGUGAAUAUCUUCACAAAGUGUUGCUACAAAAAAAUAUAUUUUCAUUUUUUCGCAGAUUAGUUUUUAAUUUUUUUGUAUUUAUGUCAUUAUUUUUGGUAGAUCUGUAAAGACCUACCUAAUGUUCUUAAGACAGAUCUUUAUUUUUAUUUUUUGCAUAUUAGUUUUUCGUUUUGUGUUUUAUUUUUUCCUUUUUGUGUGUGUUUAUGCUAUAAUUUUGAUAGAUUUAUUAAUAUCUACACAAAUUGUUUCAUAAAAUAACAAUUUUUUUCUUGCAAAUUAGUUUUUUUUUAUAAUGAGUAAGAUCUAUAUUAUUUUUUCCCUUAUUAGUGUUUUUAUUUGUUUUUAUAGUACCGUUUUGGUAGAUCUAUUAUUAUUUACAUAAAUGGCUUCUCAAAAAUAAGUUUUUUUUAUUUAUUUUUAGUAUCAUUUCGGUAGAUCCAUGAAUAUUUACAUAAAUGACUUCUCAAAUAGAUAUUUUUUUUUUUGCAGAUUAGUUGAGGAAGUUCUAUCCAUAAUAGUUUUUCUGCAUGUUAGAUUGCAAGGUCUCCAAUUGAUUCUUGGUAUUUUGCAGCUUCAUUUUACAGCGGCGGCGAAGUUCUAUCCUUGAACUCUAGAGAAAUACCCAACUUCUUUUUGUUUUUAUGAUUAUGCAUCUUGCUCCUCAUACUUUUCCUUGACUGAUAAUCACAGGACUGUAGCCGAGAAUUCCUCAGCUUCAUUU